AUCCAGUUGACGAGUCCCAAAUAGGACGAUAUGUGCGUUAUCCUGGAU
rnacentral:hammerhead_ribozyme from 1 species